GAUACAUACAUAAUUGAUAAAGAACAUUUUUUACACGUUUACUUUUAUUCUAUCUCUAACGGUUUACAAGAUGGGUUCUACAGAUACAAGACCCAAUUGACAUAUAUUGCUCAUCUACGAACUUGACCUCCCUUUUUACGUCCUGAGUGC